GAGUAAUGAACGUAAAGUUAUAAGCGUGUAUAUGGUGAAUUUACACAUGGCUUUUUCUAGCCAAUAGGAGGAUUUUUUUCAUGAAAAACGGUAAAGUAAAAUGGUUCAAUGCUGAAAAAGGUUUCGGAUUCAUCGAAGGUGAAGACGGAAACGACGUAUUCGUACAUUACUCUGCUAUCCAAUCUGAAGGUUUCAAAUCUUUAGAAGAAGGCCAAGAAGUUUCUUUCGAAGUUGUUGAAGGUGCACGCGGACCUCAAGCAGCUAACGUAACUAAACUAUAAUCGACAGACCCAUACAAAAACAGCCUGGCCAUUUGGUCAGGCUGUUUUA
rnacentral:other from 1 species